rnacentral:rRNA from 1 species
AAAGAUAUGGGAUGAGCUGUGGGGAGGGGUCAAAGUCCAAUCAAACCGGGAGAUAGCUUGUUCUCACCGAAAUAACUUUAGGGUUAGCCUCAAGAGGCAACCGUUGGGGGUAGAGCUACUGGAUGCGUGGUGGGCCCGUCUAGGGUACCCCAUGCAACCAAACUCCGAAUACCAACAGCCAAGUCUUGGGAGAUAGACUGCGAGUGAAAAUAUCCGUAGUCAAGAGG